GGGGAGUUGGCUGAGUGGCUAAGAGUGUUUGCUAAGCAAGCAUGAGAACCAGAGUUCAAGUCUUUGGCUCCCUU
rnacentral:tRNA from 1 species